CGAACGGGUGAGUAACGCGUGAGCAAUCUACCUUAGUUACUGGGAUAGCCCGAGGAAACUCGGAUUAAUACCGGAUAUUCUUAUUUAAUCACAUGAUUUUUUAAGGAAAGGUCAGCCGAACUAAGAUGGGCUCGCGUUCUAUCAGCUAGUUGGUAGGGUAGUGGCCUACCAAGGCUACGACGGAUAGCUGGUCUGAGAGGACGAUCAGCCACACUGGGACUGAGACACGGCCCAGACUCCUACGGGAGGCUGCAGCAGGGAAUAUUGCGCAAUGAGCGAAAGCUUGACGCAGCGACACCGCGUGUGGGAUGACGGAUCUAGGUUUGUAAACCACUUUCAGGAGGGAAGAAAAUGACGGUACCUCCACAAGAAGCCCCGGCCAACUACGUGCCAGCAGCCGCGGUAAUACGUAGGGGGCGAGCGUUGUCCGGAUUUAUUGGGCGUAAAGAGCUCGUAGGCGGUUCAACAAGUCGGUCGUGAAAGUUCAGGGCUCAACCCUGAAAUGUCGAUCGAUACUGUUGUGACUAGGAUACGGUAGAGGUGAGUGGAAUUCCGAGUGUAGCGGUGAAAUGCGUAGAUAUUCGGAGGAACACCAAUUGCGAAGGCAGCUCACUGGGCCGCUAUCGACGCUGAGGAGCGAAAGCUAGGGGAGCAAACAGGAUUAGAUACCCUGGUAGUCCUAGCUGUAAACGAUGGAUAC
rnacentral:rRNA from 1 species